rnacentral:rRNA from 1 species
AAUGCAUAGGAAUCUACCUAGUAGUAUGGGAUAGCCACUAGAAAUGGUGGGUAAUACUGUAUAAUCCCUGCGGGGGAAAGAUUUAUCGCUAUUAGAUGAGCCUAUGUUAGAUUAGCUAGUUGGUGGGGUAAUGGCCUACCAAGGCUGUGAUCUAUAGCUGGUCUGAGAGGAUGAUCAGCCACACUGGAACUGAGACACGGUCCAGACUCCUACGGGAGGCAGCAGUGGGGAAUAUUGGACAAUGGGCGCAAGCCUGAUCCAGCUAUGCCGCGUGAGUGAGGAAGGCCUUAGGGUUGUAAAACUCUUUCA